GUAGGUGGCAAGCGUUGUCCGGGAAUUAUUGGGGCGUAAAGCGCGCGCAGGCGGUUCUUUAAGUCUGAUGUGAAAGCCCACGGGCUCAACCGUGGAGGGUCAUUGGAAACUGGAGAACUUGAGUACAGAAGAGGAAAGCGGAAUUCCACGUGUAGCGGUGAAAUGCGUAGAGAUGUGGAGGAACACCGGUGGCGAAGGCGGCUUUCUGGUCUGUAACUGACGCUGAGGCGACGAAAGCGGUGGGGAGCAAACAGGGAUUAGAUACCCCUGGUAGUCCACGCCGUAAACGAUGAGUGCUAAGUGUUAGGGGGUUUCCGCCCCUUAGUGCAGCAGCUAACGCAUUAAGCACUCCGCCUGGGGAGUACGGCCGCAAAGGCUGA
rnacentral:rRNA from 1 species